GGAUGUGAGGGCAAUCUGGCUGCUACAUCUGUCACCCCGUUGAUCACCAGGGUUGAUUCAGCUGAUCUGGCUGGCUACGCAAGUGACCUCUUCCUCCCUCACUGCUCCAUGUGUGUUCCUCCCGAAACUGCAUGCUGGGUUGAAGAAGAUGACCAUCCCCAAUAGAGGAGGACCAGUCUUCAGUCAAGGGUACACUAGAAGCUGCGCUUCCCUGGCAGAACCUCCAAACAAGCUCUCAAGAACUCCCAUAACUCAAUAGCAAAGGAAAAUAACCAAUUUGCAAAGUGGUCAAGGGAUGUAAAUAGACAUUUAAGCGUGUUUAUUUUUAUUUUUAUUUUCCAU
ensembl:misc_RNA 7SK 7SK RNA